UCCCAAUUUGAAACACUGGGUUUUGGGUU
rnacentral:piRNA from 1 species